CUACCUAAAACAUAAAAAUCUAAAUAUGUUAAUUACUGCAUGGAUGGAUAUUGAAAAAGAUCUUAUAAUAUUAUGUUUUUUCUUUUUUUUUUGGUGAAGAAGACUGAGAAUUAUAUUAAAAUAAAAAGAAGCUUACAAACUGUUCGAGAAUCAAAAACAGAACACUAUUACAUACAUCCAAAAACAGAGAACUUAUCACAUACAGGUA
rnacentral:lncRNA from 1 species